rnacentral:rRNA from 1 species
CGCAGGUCCUUCGGGACAAGGAGACAGGUGGUGCAUGGUUGUCGUCAGCUCGUGUCGUGAGAUGUUGGUUAAGUCCCGCAACGAGCGCAACCCUUGCUAUUAGUUGCCAGCGAGAAAGACGGGCACUCUAAUAGGACUGCCGGCGACAAGUCGGAGGAAGGUGGGGAACGACGUCAAAUCAUCAUGCCCCUUAUGUCCUGGGCUACACACGUACUACAAUGACUGUUACAGAGGGCAGCAAAGUCGCAAGGCUAAGCAAAUCCCAAAAACAGUCCCAGUUCGGAUUGUGGGCUGCAACUCGCCCACAUGAAGUCGGAAUUGCUAGUAAUGGCAGGUCAGCAUACUGCCGUGAAUACGUUCCCGGGCCUU